rnacentral:rRNA from 1 species
AUGGCGGUGAUGAAGACGAAGCCGGCUGCAGAAGGCAAGCGAUGCUGCCCGGGAAUCAACACCAAGCUCGUCGCCUUCCUGCUCACAGUGCCGUCACUCAUCGUCUUCCUUGGUGGGCGCAAUGGCGAGCAGCCGGCGGUCGAGAUCGAGGCGGCCAUGCCCGGCAGAGAUCCAGAAGCUGUCUCGUUCCUGCAACGGAAGACAGCACACGAUGACAGGCUUCUCGGCGGCCUCCUAGCCGACGGCUUCGACCAAAAAUCCUGCCACAGCCGGCACCAAUCCGCCGUGUACCGUCGUAACGCCGGCAGGCAACCGUCGCAUCACCUCAUCUCCAAACUGCGGAGCCACGAAGCUCUACAAAGACGGUGCGGCCCGGGCACAGCCGCGUACACCAACGCUCUGGAGCAGCUCAAGUCCGGCAGGAGCGUCGCGUCACCGGAGUGCAGGUACCUGGUCUCCAUAUCGUACCGCGGCCUCGGCAACCGGAUCCUGGCCGCGGCGUCGGCGUUCCUGUACGCGCUGCUCACCGACCGCGUCCUCCUCGUUGACCCCAGCCACAUGACGGACGAGCUCUUCUGCGAGCCGUUCCCGAACACGACAUGGCUGCUGCCUCCGGGGUUCCCGCUCUUCAACUAUCAGAGCUUUUACCUCGACACGCCGGAGAGGUUCGGGAGAAUGCGGGAGGACGGAGUGCUGAGAACCGGCGUGACAAACGGCUCCGCCCCCGCCGAGCUGCCGGCGUUCGCGUACAUCCACCUCGACUACAACCAGACGGACCACGACAAGCUCUUCUUCUGCGACGACGACCAGAGGGUUCUCCGGGACAUCCAGUGGCUGGUGAUGAGGACGGACAGCUACAUCGUGCCGGGCCUGUUCCUGGUGAAGGCGUUCGAGGAGGAGCUCGACGGUCUGUUCCCGGAGCGCGACGCCGUGUUCCACCACCUCGGCCGGUACCUGUUCCACCCGACCAACCAGGUGUGGGGCCUCAUCGCGCGGUACUACCGCGCGCACCUCGCGUCGGCGCGGCGCGUGGUGGGCAUCCAGGUGCGCGUCUUCCCCUGGGAGGCGGAGUCGCCGGAGAUCCUGGAGCAGAUCAAGACGUGCACGCAGAACGAGAGGCUGCUCCCGGCGGUGCUGGACGAGGUGGAGGACGACGAGCCGGCGGUGGCCGGUGCCCAGCAACCGACGGCCGUCCUGGUCACCUCCCUCAAGGCCUGGUACAGCGACAAGAUGAAGGAGAUGUACUGGGAGCGCGCGGCGGCGGACGGCAGGGUGGUGGUGGUGGAGCAGCCGAGCCACGAGGAGACCCAGCGCUACAACGUGAGGUCGCACGAGCACAAGGCCUGGGCGGAGGUGUACCUGCUGAGCGUGGCGGACAUGCUGGUGACCACCGGGCAGUCGACGUUCGGGUACGUGGCGCAGGGGCUCGGCGGGCUAAAGCCCUGGGUGCUGCACCAUGUCGCCAACGGCACGGUGGGGUGGCCGUGCAGCAGGGACGUGUCCAUGGAGCCGUGCUUCCACGUCCCGCCGCAGUACGACUGCAAGCGACGGGAAGACGCCGGCCUGGUCGUGCCGCAUGUGCGCCACUGCGGAGACCUGCCCGCGGGACUGAAGCUAGUCGAUCGAAGAGAAUGGUAG